rnacentral:pre_miRNA from 1 species
AGCCUUUUGUAUCCGUGCUGAGAUUUCGUCACACAACAGACCACAAGGGCUGAUGAGACUUCCAAGAUAAGUGAAGCG